rnacentral:rRNA from 1 species
CGAUAAUCGACUCNUAANGGGUCGAUNGGNNCUGACGUNCUAUGCAUCGGGNCGCCAUGGCCGCUGGCAUAACAUUGUAUCCAUGGCCACGACUAACCUGGGCGGCGUGCCUGAUAUGGGUACAUCGAGCGAACUUGCGGGAUCUUGCUCCCAAAAGUUAGCGGCGGACGGGUGAGUAACACNUGGGCAACCUGCCUAUAAGACUGGAAUAACUUCGGGAAACCGAAGCUAGUACGGGAGAGUCCUUUUCUACACAUAUANAAAUACUAAAUCACAUAUAACACUAUCACAUAAAAAAUGGAGGGGGGAGGGAAGGAACAGAGGAAAAAGGGAAGGAAAGCCGCGAGAGAGAGGUGGGGGUGGGAGAGGGGGGUGAUAGGGGGAGAGGGGGGGGACGGGGGACAGGGAAAGGAGGAGAGGGGGGAGAAGAGGGGGGGUGGAGGGUAGGAAGGGAAGGAGGGGGGAGUGGGGAAAGGGGAGGAAAGAAAAGGAAAAAGAAAGAAGGAUAGAGGAGGGAAAGGGGGGGGAGGGAGGGAAGGGAGGGAGAGGGGAGAAGGAGAGAGAGGGGAGGGGAAAGGAGGGGGGGGGUAGGGAGCGAGGAGGGGAGGGAGGGGGGAGGGGAGGUGGAGGAGGAGGAUGUAAAAAGGGAGGGGGAAGGGAGACGAGGAGUUGGAGGGGAGGAGGAAGGGAGGAAGAGAGGAUGGAGGAGGGGGGGGUGGGGGAGAGGAGGGGGGGAGUCAGGCAGGCUGCGGGGGCGGACGCGUAGGAGGGGGCGGGCGGGGGGGGAGGGGAGGAGGGGAGGAGAACAAUACAAGAGAACGGAGAAGGGGGGAAGGGAGGGAAAAAGGUAGGCAGCGGCGGGAAAGCAGGUAGGGGAGUGUGGG